UGACGCUGAGGCGCGAAAGUGUGGGGAGCAAACAGGAUUAGAUACCCUGGUAGUCCACACUGUAAACGAUGAAUGCUAGGUGUAGGGGGUAUCGACCCCUUCUGUGCCGCAGUAAACACAAUAAGCAUUCCGCCUGGGGAGUACGGCCGCAAGGUUGAAACUCAAAGGAAUUGACGGGGGCCCGCACAAGCAGCGGAGCAUGUGGUUUAAUUCGACGCAACGCGAAGAACCUUACCAGGUCUUGACAUCCAGUAAAAGCCAUAGAGAUAUGGUGUGUCUUCGGACAUACUGAGACAGGUGGUGCAUGGUUGUCGUCAGCUCGUGUCGUGAGAUGUUGGGUUAAGUCCCGCAACGAGCGCAACCCUUGCUGAUAGUUACUAACAGGUAAAGCUGAGGACUCUAUUAGGACUGCCGGGGACAACUCGGAGGAAGGUGGGGACGACGUCAAAUCAUCAUGCCCCUUAUGACCUGGGCUACACACGUGCUACAAUGGCCGUUACAAAGAGGUGCAAAGCCGUAAGGUGGAGCAGAUCUCAAAAAAGCGGUCUCAGUUCGGAUUGUGGGCUGCAACCCGCCCACAUGAAGUCGGAGUGCUAGUAAU
rnacentral:rRNA from 1 species